rnacentral:rRNA from 1 species
GACGAACGCUGGCGGCGUGCUUAACACAUGCAAGUCGAACGGUGAAGCUCCAGCUUGCUGGAGUGGAUCAGUGGCGAACGGGUGAGUAACACGUGAGCAACCUGCCCCUGACUCUGGAAUAAGCGCUGGAAACGGCGUCUAAUACUGGAUACGAGAAGGGUCCGCAUGGGCACUUUCUGGAAAGUUUUUCGGUUGGGGAUGGUCUCGCGGCCUAUCAGCUUGUUGGUGAGGUAAUGGCUCACCAAGGCGACGACGGGUAGCCGGCCUGAGAGGGCGACCGGCCACACUGGGACUGAGACACGGCCCAGACUCCUACGGGAGGCAGCAGUGUGGAAUAUUGCACAAUGGGCGAAAGCCUGAUGCAGCGACGCCGCGUGAGGGAUGACGGCCUUCGGGUUGUAAACCUCUUUCAGCAGGGAAGAAGCGAAAGUGACGGUACCUGCAGAAGAAGCACGGGCUAACUACGUG